GAUGAACGCUAGCGGCAGGCUUAACACAUGCAAGUCGAGGGGCAACACGGGUAGCAAUACCUGGUGGCGACCGGCGCAAGGGUGCGUAACGCGUGAGCAACAUGCCCUAUACAAGGGGAUAAUCCAGGGAAACUUGGUCUAAUAUCCCAUAGUAUUUAGAGGUGGCAUCACCACUAAAUUAAAGCUUCGGUGGUAUAGGAUUGGCUCGCGUGACAUUAGCUGGAUGGUGGGGUAACGGCUCACCAUGGCGAUGAUGUCUAGGGGUUCUGAGAGGAAGACCCCCCACACUGGGACUGAGACACGGCCCAGACUCCUACGGGAGGCAGCAGUGAGGAAUAUUGGACAAUGGAUGGAAAUCUGAUCCAGCCAUGCCGCGUGCAGGAAGACGGCCCUAUGGGUUGUAAACUGCUUUUAUAUGGGAGCAAUAAGGUUUACGCGUAGACCGAUGAGAGUACCAUAUGAAUAAGCAUCGGCUAACUCCG
rnacentral:rRNA from 1 species